AUGGCUACGGCCGUGGCGGGGCAUCUGCGAGGAGGUCUCCUGCCCCAAGCGGGCCAGCUCCCUACCCUCCAGAGUGUAUGCCAUGGUUCUAAGGCUGUUACCCGCCACUGGCGUGUGAUGCACUUUGAGCGACAGAAGCUGAUGGCUGUGACUGAGUAUAUCCCCCCCCAAACAUGUUGUCAACCCUAGAUGCCUGCCACCUCCUCCAAGCCCUCCCAAGGAGGAAACAGACUUCAUCCGACUCCUUCGCCGAGAGGUAGCACAAGUCUUCCAAGACAACCGAAUGAUAGCCGUCUGCCAGAAUGUGGCCAUCAGUGCAGAAGAUAAGCUGCUUAUGCGGCACCAACUUCGGAAACACAAGAUCCUAAUGAAGAUCUUCCCCAGCGAGGUUUUGAAGCCUUUUCUGAAGGAGUCCAAGUAUCAAAACCUGCUGCCCCUUUUUGUGGGGCACAACCUGCUGCUGGUGAGUGAAGAGCCCAAGGUCAAGGAGAUGGUCCGGAUCUUAAGGAUUAUGCCUUUCCUGCCGCUGCUAGGUGACUGUAUUGAUGACACCAUCCUCAGCAGGCAGGGCUUCAUCAACUACUCCAAGCUGCCCAGCCUGGCCCUGGUACAAGGGGAGCUGGUAGGAGGCCUCACGCUCCUCACAGCCCAGACCCACUCCCUACUUCAGCACCAGCCCCUCCAGCUGACCACCUUGUUGGACCAGUACGUCAGACAGCAACGUGAGGGGGACUCUGUUGUUUCAGCCAGUGGGAAGCCACAUCCUCCUGACCCUGUUGCAGCCUCGUAGCCAGCCUGUUCUCCUCAGCCCUGCCAGUGAACACACUCUGCCAUGUUGGCUCUCCUGUCCUCCGUGGGAGAUGUUGAAGAACUUGGGUCGGGGAGUGGCAUGUGUUACUUGGGCUUCCACUAACAACAACCUCCUCGGGUUCAGGACCAUCUGGAGAUGCAGAAUGGAGGCCGUCUCAG